GAUGAAGAACGUAGCGAAAUACGAUAAGUAAUGUGAAUUGCAGAAUUCAGUGAAUCAUCGAAUCUUUGAACGCAUCUUGCGCUCCUUGGUAUUCUGAGGAGCAUGCCUGUUUGAGUGUCAUUAAAUUCUCAACUACACUGACUUUGAAUUGGUGUGGCUUGGAUUUGGGGGGAAAAUUGUUGUGGGCUUUUUGUAUAGUCUGCUCCCCUGAAAUUGAUUAGCGGUACCUUUGUGGAACUGUCUACAGGUGUGAUAAUUAUCUACAUCUUAGACAUCUGCUGGAAUGCUGCUUUCUAAACCUAACUUGUAUUGACAAUCUUGACCUCAAAUCAGGUAAGACUACCCGCUGAACUUAAGCAUAUCAAUAAGCCGGAGGA
rnacentral:misc_RNA from 1 species